UACGGGAGGCAGCAGUGGGGAAUAUUGCACAAUGGGCGCAAGCCUGAUGCAGCCAUGCCGCGUGUAUGAAGAAGGCCUUCGGGUUGUAAAGUACUUUCAGUCGUGAGGAAGGUGUUAAGGUUAAUAACCUUAGCAAUUGACGUUAGCGACAGAAGAAGCACCGGCUAACUCCGUGCCAGCAGCCGCGGUAAUACGGAGGGUGCGAGCGUUAAUCGGAAUUACUGGGCGUAAAGGGCACGCAGGCGGUUAAUUAAGUUGGAUGUGAAAUCCCCGGGCUUAACCUGGGAAUGGCAUUCAAGACUGGUUAGCUAGAGUCUUGUAGAGGGGGUGAAUUCCAUGUGUAGCGGUGAAAUGCGUAGAGAUGUGGAGGAAUACCGGUGGCGAAGGCGGCCCCUGGGACAAAGACUGACGCUCAUGUGCGAAAGCGUGGGGAGCGAAACAGGAUUAGAUACC
rnacentral:rRNA from 1 species